AACGUGCCCUUCUCUACGGAAUAGCCUCUGGAAACGGAGAGUAAUACCGUAUACGCCCUUUGGGGGAAAGAUUUAUCGGAGAAGGAUCGGCCCGCGUUAGAUUAGGUAGUUGGUGGGGUAACGGCCUACCAAGCCUACGAUCUAUAGCUGGUUUUAGAGGAUGAUCAGCAACACUGGGACUGAGACACGGCCCAGACUCCUACGGGAGGCAGCAGUGGGGAAUCUUAGACAAUGGGGGCAACCCUGAUCUAGCCAUGCCGCGUGAGUGAUGAAGGCCUUAGGGUCGUAAAGCUCUUUCGCCUGUGAUGAUAAUGACAGUAGCAGGUAAAGAAACCCCGGCUAACUCCGUG
rnacentral:rRNA from 1 species